UUCCCAGUGCCUGCCUCAAGCUGCCUGUCCUCUCUUGGGAUCCACCCUGACCACACAAGCGGUUGUGGAGGUGCGUGGUGUGGAGCAGAAACUCCUGGUGGUGAUGUGGCCCUGGCCAGCUGAGGACAGCCUCUCCCAGCAUAACAAUAAGGUGGCCACAAGUGUCAUGAGGUGCAUUAUUGACACCAUCUAGAAGUAAAAGAACACUUCAGGUCUGAUCCUGGGCAGGGAGCUGCUCCUGUUGUUGGUCCCACUGGUGUUCAAUGGAGCUUCCUCUAGAUUUUGUGGUUUGCUUUGCCUGAUAGUUUUCUCCACCUAUGAGUGUUCUGUGCCCUUUGCUGCAGUGGUUUGCUUGGGGUGGCCCCAGCUCCCAACCCUCUGGAUCUUUGCAGUGGGAUAUUGUGUAUUUUCGACAUUGGUGGUCAUUCUGGAGGUUCCCGUCAGCAAAGGGGGAAGUCCUAAUUUUCAGGCCGAGGAUAGAAACUGAGGUUGAGGGUUGUUAUGGGAAAAAUUUGGCUGCAGAACCUGUCUGGGAGGCGCAGCAUCAACCUGGUUGAAAACCGACAGCAACGGCACCUGGAAGGAAUUUUUGGAAGCCUGCUUGUUCUCUGCAGAGUAGAAGCGCUCCUGUGCCAGGUUUGUGCCCCGAUUGCUCCCCUUAGGGCUCAGGGGACCUUUUGGCGUCAAGAGAGGCUGUUGAGAUGGGCUGGAAGACCUCAGUGCUGCUUUGCAGGUAUCUUCACCAGACCUGGGCAAGGAUUUCAGCAGGUGGUUUAGUAGGCGCGCCCCAAGGCUCUUGUCCAUCCACUCACAGGGAUGAGCAUUUCUUCUGGAGGAACCAAAAGGUGUAGGAAGUCCAGGGACAUAAUCACUUGUGGGUAGUAAAACCAGGGCCCUGACAGGAUGAAGAACAGCCAGGACCUGUGAGAAGGUGGGUGACACUCCAUAGGCCGGGAUCUGGGAAGAGGAAAAGCAGUUUUGGCUUCUCCAUAAUGAGGCACAUAAAAAUACUAACAAACCCCCCGCUAUCACAAUCCUUUUUUUCUUUCUUGUCUAUUUUUGGGGUUGCUCUGUCAAAAAAAACAAGAGGCCAUGGCACACAUGAGCUCCCUAAUUUUCCAGAAUAAUACCUGCGACCAGCUGGGUGUCUUCUUGUGUUUCCAAGGUGAUGUUUCUUCCAUCUCCUCAUUCCAGGUACAUAUAUGUGCACAUGUGCAGACAGCGAUACAACUUCACACUUGCACACGGACAAUUUUCACGAGAUACAAUUUUGCCAUAGAAUGUAACUAAACUCUCUUUUGAAGGUGUGUCCUGCUGAGCUGGGGGGAAGGAGCUCAGCCCUUCCCCAAAGCAGCGCCUGAUUGAAGGUGGGGACAGGCAGAGAGCUCUGGAGUGCCCUCCUCCUCAGGAGCCGGGGAUCUCAUCAGGAGAAGGAGAGGCCCCGAAAAGCUUUGGAGGAUGGCCAUGUAGGUGACAGAGGAGCACCUCUAUCCCAUUGCAUGGUGAGGGGGGACCUUCUGCCACAGCAGGAUAUUGGGGAGAGGAGGAAACACCCUUCAAAGGGAAAGGGCACGUGUGUCCUACUGAAUUACAACUCUGGAAAAGAGGAAGGAUAAACCAGGCGAUGAAUUACUGGGCCUCAUGGAGAGCCAAGGGCAGCCAGCCCUGGAGAGUCAGCUGCUGCCACAGCAUUCCAUGUGGGCACAGCCACUCUGCGGGAGGUACAGUCCAAAGGAAGAAAAGAGGGAUGGCUGCAGGUGUGAUCAGAAGCAUUUUUCCAUGCCUGAGCUGUAGCACACAGCUGACUGAGAUGGCUGGUCCAAGAAGACCCCCAAGAGGUCAAGAGGCAGCUUUGCCCAUUGACACCACUUGCCCUCAGUACAGCAGAGAACCACAACACGUGGAUUUCAGAGCAGCAACAUCCUGCCUGCAGGAAAACAUUACUGUGUGGAGGAGCCUGACCCAAACCCUCCCCAGCAACAUGACAAGGAAGUGCAGGAAGGGGAUGUGAAGACACGUAAUCAAAAAAAAAAGCUGAAGACAGAAGCUGUCGGCUCACGAGGAGCUUACAGAUGUUUUGGGAAAGCAGGCCAGCAGGUCUCACACUGAUGCACGGCAGUACUGAGGCAGACCCGCUGGGACGAGGUUUUGCCUCGUGGCUUGUAAGACAUUCAUGACAUACAUUCCAUUAAAAAUGCAUUUUUCUUCUUUAAA